CUCCUUGAUCUUGUCCAUAAUGCCUUUCUUCUCGCCGGUGCCCUCGGUGCCGGUGGCGUAGGCGCCGCCGGUGUGUCCCUGCUGCCCGUAGGCGCUGCCGGUGUGUCCCUGCUGCCCAUAGGCGCCGCCGGUCGUCGCCGUGGCGUGCUGGUCGUCCUUGUGGCCUCCGGGCAGCUUCUCUUUGAUCUUCUCCUUGAUUCCCUUCUUCCUCCUUCCGCCCAUGCCGUCGUCCUCCGACUU
rnacentral:lncRNA from 1 species